CAGCAUCCUACAAAGUAACUGUCUUC
rnacentral:piRNA from 1 species